rnacentral:rRNA from 1 species
GACGAACGCUGGCGGCGUGCCUAACGCAUGCAAGUCGAACGAAGAAUCUUGACUGAACCCUUCGGGGGGAUUUCAAGAUUACUGAGUGGCGGACGGGUGAGUAACGCGUGAGCAACCAACCCUGCACAGGGGGACAACAUCUGGAAACGGAUGCUAAUACCGCAUGAGACCACACUAUCGCAUGAUAGAGGGGUCAAAACUCCGGUGGUGCAGGACGGGCUCGCGUCCCAUUAGCUAGUAGGUGAGGUAACGGCUCACCUAGGCGACGAUGGGUAGCCGAGCUGAGAGGCUGAUCGGCCACACUGGGACUGAGACACGGCCCAGACUCCUACGGGAGGCAGCAGCGAGGAUAUUGUCCAAUGGGGAACCUGAGACAGCAACGCCGCGUGAAGGAAGAAGGCCUUCGGGUUUGUAAA